rnacentral:tRNA from 1 species
GGGCGAUUGGCGCAGUUGGUAGCGCAGCAGUAUCACACAUUGAAGGUCGGGGGUUCGAAUCCCUCAUCGCCCA